rnacentral:rRNA from 1 species
UGUCCAGACUCCUACGGGAGGCAGCAGUGGGGGAUAUUGCACAAUGGGGGAAACCCUGAUGCAGCGACGCCGCGUGGGUGAAGAAGCGCCUCGGCGCGUAAAGCCCUAUCGGCAGGGAAGAAGGAGGACGGUACCUGACUAAGAAGCCCCGGCUAACUACGUGCCAGCAGCCGCGGUAAUACGUAGGGGGCAAGCGGUAUCCGGAUUUACUGGGUGUAAAGGGAGCGUAGACGGCUGUGCAAGCCAGAUGUGAAAGCCCGGGGCUCAACCCCGGGACUGCAUUUGGAACUGCGUGGCUUGAGUGUCGGAGAGGCAGGCGGAAUUCCUAGUGUAGCGGUGAAAUGCGUAGAUAUUAGGAGGAACACCAGUGGCGAAGGCGGCCUGCUGGACGAUGACUGACGUUGAGGCACGAAAGUGUGGGGAGCAAACAGGAUUAGAUCCCCCGGUA